GUCCCAGGUGGGAUAGCUCAGUCAGUAGUGCGUGAGACUCUUAGUCUCUGGUUCAUGGGUUUGAGCCCCAUUCUGGGCA